GACCGCUCCGGUGGCCUAGUGGUUAAUGCUUCCGCCUUGGAAGCGGGAGGUUGCGGGUUUGAACCCCGCUCGAGUCA